UAUUAGGGCACUACGUUCAACAGAUCCUGAUCGAUUCCAGGUAAUGUUCUGCUACUCUGAGGAUAAAGCUAUUCAGAAAGACAAAUCUGGAAUAUCUGAACAAACAUCAAAACUAGGUGUCAGGACUGUCCCAGCACACAGGGCUGGCCAUGGCUACUGAGAGCAUCCUUCAAUUUGCCGGAUACAACAAGCAGAACACAACUCUCGGGGCAAAUCAGCUAACCGAGCACCUGGCUUUUGUGACAAAAGAUUACUCCAACUUCAUGGCUUCCCUGAUUUGCACAACCCCUAUGCAGGUGAGGUAAUUUUGUCACCAGUGUCCAAGGUUUAGAGCAUUCUCGUGGUUUGAUGCCAUUUGGCUCUUUUUUUGUGGGACAUAAGUAAUGAGUCUGAGCAAUGUGGAAUUCACUCAAUUUAGGUGGCUUGAGUAGCAUGGAGCCCCAACACUAUUGGCAUAUUUUGG
rnacentral:lncRNA from 1 species